GAUGAACGCUGGCGGCGUGCUUAACACAUGCAAGUCGAACGGAAAGGCCCAAGCUUGCUUGGGUACUCGAGUGGCGAACGGGUGAGUAACACGUGGGUGAUCUGCCCUGCACUUCGGGAUAAGCCUGGGAAACUGGGUCUCAUACCGGAUAGGACCACUUCUUGGAUGUUGUGGUGGAAAGUUUUUUCGGUGUGGGAUGAGUUCGCGGCCUAUCAGCUUGUUGGUGGGGUAAUGGCCUACCAAGGCGUCGACGGGUCGCCGGCCUGAGAGGGUGUACGGCCACAUUGGGACUGAGAGACGGCCCAGACUCCGACGGGAGGCAGCAGGGGGGAAGAUUGCACAAGGGGCGCAAGCCUGAUGCAGCGACGCCGCGGGGGGGAUGACGGCCUUCGGGUUGUAAACUCCUUUCGCUAGGGACGAAGCGUUUUGUGACGGUACCUGGAGAAGAAGCACCGGCUAACUACGUG
rnacentral:rRNA from 1 species